rnacentral:rRNA from 1 species
UGCUUGUCUCAAAGAUUAAGCCAUGCAUGUCUAUGCACAAGCCGAAUACGGUGAAGCCGCGAAUGGCUCAUUACAACAGCCACUGUUUACUUGAUUCUGAUUAUCCUACUUGGAUAACUGUGGUAAUUCUAGAGCUAAUACAUGCAACCAAGCUCCGACCGUAAGGGACGAGCGCAUUUAUUAGAACAAAACCAAUCGGGCUUCGGCCUGAGGUUUGGUGAAUCUGAAUAACUGAGCUGAUCGCAUGGUCUUUGUACCGGCGACGCAUCUUUCAUGUGUCUGCCUUAUCAACUUUCGAUGGUAGUUUAUGUGCCUACCAGGGUUGUAACGGGUAACGGAGAAUAAGGGUUCGACUCCGGAGAGGGAGCCUGAGAAACGGCUACCACAUCCRAGGAAGGCAGCAGGCA